GCUUUAGGUCAGGCAUGGUGAUUCCACCAGAGGUUCUUUUAUCCUUGAGAAGAGUUUUUGACUAGCUUACUCUUUGUCAACUCCUUCUCUACCUAAACUUGACUGUCCUGGAUCUUGCUCUGUAGAUUGACCUUGAACUCAGAGAUCUGCAUGCCUGUCUCCUGGGAUUAAAGAUGUGUACCACCAUGCCUUGAUUUAAGCUUUUUUUCACCUAUAAUUUGAUCUGUCUCAGUCAGGCCUUGAACUCAGAGAUCUGCUUGGCUUUCUCUCCUGAGAUUAUAAGUGUGUACUGCCAUGCAUGGAUCUAAAUUUAGCCGGGUAGGAUUUUGUCCCAAGGUCACCACUCCAUUAACUCAAUUUAAUAUCCUUGAUAUAAAAUUUCAAUUUAUAUCAAUAUCAAUUUCACUUCCUGGUACCCUUUAAUACUAGAACUAUAUAGCUCGUCAUGAUACUUAACCAGAGAACAAGGACUUUGGUUGGCGUUUCUGAGACUUCCUUUGUCAAUGCAAUUAAUCUCAGUCUCUUCAUCUUAGCCUCAGGCAGACUCUUCACGAAAGGGCAAAAAGUAGCCACUUUCUUCACCAAAAUAACACAAAACAGUCUCUAGGCCACAUACUGAAGUUCUUCUCUACUGAAACCUCUUAGGCCAGGUCUGCACAGUUCAAAUCACUCACAGCAACAAAGUCUUCCAUAUUCCUAGUAGAUUGGCUUAUUAAGCCCCACUUAAAACAUUCCAUGGCUUUCCAAAGCCAAAGUCCCAAAAUCCACAUUCUUCCAAACAAAUGUGAUAGGCCAGGCCUAUCACAGCAGUACCAACUUUUGUCUUAGGGUUUUAUUGCUGUGAACAGACACCAUAGCCAAGGCAACUCUUAUAAGGACAUUUAAUUGGGGCUGGCUUACAGGUUCAGAGGUUCAGUCCAUUAUCAUCAAAGCAGGAACACGGCAGCAUUUAGUCAGGCAUGGUGUAAGAGAAGCUGAGAUCCACUGGGCUAGAGUGGACUGCCAUGUAGGGACUAGGAGUUGAACCUGGAUCACCUGAAGAACAGCCAAUGUUCUUAACCACUGAGCCAACUGUCCAGCCCCUGUUUUGUAAUAUUUUAAUUAUCUUUAGUUAUAUAUCCCUAUGGGUAAUAAGACCAUGUAGACAGUCAUAAAUUAAUCUGUUCAUGGCCAGUUCUCCUUGUGAGUUCCUUUUAGGGGCUUGGGAGGAGCUCCUUCCUCCUUUAUGUAGCAUACAUUAAUAUUUUUUAAUUAUGAGGAAUGAAACUAAGGUCUUGGUGCAUACUACAUAUGUACCCUACUAGUCAGUUACAUGGUAGAAUUUGAACCUAUGUUUUUAUCGUAGCCAUUACAAUUUAUGUAAUUUGGGAUAAUUCAUUAUGUAAUUUGGGAUGAUAAUCCUUGUUUUUGUAAAUAGAAAAAAGACAAUAUACAUUUAAAGAAAUGCACAUUUAUUUUCAAACUAUAUUCUAGCCAAUAUAAGUGGGCUUAUUAGUCAGGGUUCUCUAGAGUCAAAGAACUUAUGGAUAGUCUCUAUAUAGUAAAGGAAUUUAUUGAUGACUUACAGUCUGCAGUCUAAUUCCCAACAAUGGUUCAGUAGUAGUUGUGAAUGGAAGUCCAAGGAUCUAGCAGUUGCUCAGUCCCACACGGCAAGCAGGCAAAAGAGUGAGAGCAUCUCCCUUCUUCCAAUGUCCUUAUAUGGUCUCCAGUAGAAGGUGUAGCCCAGAUUAAAGGUGUGUUUUACCACACCUUUAAUCCCAGAUGACCUUGAACUCGGGGAUCUCCCUGCCUUAAUCUUUUGGAAUCCAUAGCCACUAUGCCUCAAGAUCUCCAUACCAAGAUCCAGAUCAGAAACUUCUAUCUCCCAGCCUCCAGAUUAGGGUCACUGGCGAGCCUUCCAAUUCUGGAUUGUAGUUCAUUCCAAAUAUAGUCAAGUUGGCAACCAGGAAUAGCCACUACAGUGGGCAUUGAUACGAAAACAAUGUGUUUGAUUAAAGACAGUAUCAACAGUACAUUUGUAUCAUAUAUUUCAACUAUCUUUACAUAGCCUGAUUACUAGAACUAGAAUUUGAAGGCAUAUUGGCAGUAGCCUUAAUUAUUAGGAAGUCUAGUUUUCAAAAGUCUACCAAUUCCUAAAUGGAUUUUACUCUGGAAUUCUUUCUUGGCUAUAUUUUUGUUGCAUCUUUUAGUGUGAAUGAAAUAUUUGAAAUUUAGGUAUGGCAUCAGCAAAGAAGGUAGUCCAAACAGCAGGGAACUUAAAUUCCUGUCCGAUUUCCAGCUCCAUCCUCUGGACAGCUUCCUUUGCUGUCUCAUUUUUUCUGUUUGGGGUGGGGGGCAUAGGGGGAGGACAACCAUUCUCUUCAUCACCUCCAUUUAAUCAUAUCCUACAUGCCCAGCUUGGUUUCUACGUCUGCACCUUUCUCAAGAAUCCCUCUGUAACUCCUGAACUCUAGUCCUUGAAGGUCACGCACAGUUUCUUCUUUGUAAAGAUUUCCCAUGCAUAUGCCACUGUUACUUGUUUUUGCUUCAUCCCAGUUAAAAAUUACACUUUUCACAUUCUACAUCUUAAUCUUGGAAAUUCCCUUCUCUCUUCUACCCUGUUCAUCCUCAUUUUCUCCAAAGAUGCCAAGAUUCUCUUCAAGUUGUUUCCAUCUAUGAAGUCCUUUGCAGCUCAAGGUCACACCUUGAUUCAUUGCUUGACUCAAAACAGAAGUAUUAGGGGGAAAGUGGAUUUUAUUCUACCAUCCUCACUGGCUAAUAGUUCCACAGAAGGGUGAACUGGAGAGUUGUCCAGAAAUACCAACGCCCUGAUGUCUUCCUCAUGAAAUCCUAGAUCAUUAAGUUGAAAUGCUAAACAAAAUUGUGAAAGAACCAUUCUGAAAACAAUUCCUUUGUGAACCACAUGUCUUUACCAGGUUUAUGUAUCACAAAUGAUGUGUCUUCUUUCACACUUUUGGACUGAAAAAGUGACGACUUUUUUCCAGAGCCCUCAUGGUCCCCAAACGAAGCUAUGAAGGGCCCCCUGAGCACACCCGGAGCAUGAGGAGGGCGGGGCACAGACAAUGAGCACAGCUAGGAGGCCACCAUACCAAGCAAUGACCCCAUAUACUAGCUGGCCAAUGGCUCCAAAGCUCCGUAGGAAUGGCCAGGAAGCAAAGCAGCUAUGCCCUCCUUUCGGUCACUAUGCAAGGCCACCCUAAGCUCCAGCAGUUAACUCUCUCGGGGCUCGCACUAGCACAGACUGGUAAACACUGGCUUCGCUGGCUUCUCUGUAAAAGGGUAAGAGGGGGCUAUCUGAAGCCUCUGAAACAUUUCUGCCUCCUGUAGAGUGCACACUUAAGUCCUCUUGAAGGAAAGGAUGAUACCUGUCUCCAGGAAGCCUAGCUGGCAGGGCGAUGCGAGGCGAGGCUCUCCCUCAGCCUCUGGCUGGUGGUCAUGUAGCACUGGGCCGCUGAGGUAAGAAGACACGGUCUUAUUUGGCCACCUCUGCUAAGCGUGUUGGCCGGUUCGAGGAGGAGGGACCAAGAGGAAGGUCAGGAGAAGUUUUCUGCUGUGCCUCUCUCAGGGAAGCAAAGAUCAGCGAUGCAAAACCCACAAACAAGACCCACUGCAUUGUAUGUCUAGCUCUAUGAGCAAGCCUAGCUUAGCCUCUGUCACUGUCCAUAGAGUCCUGUUUAAACCCUUCAAAUGUCACAUGUUUUCCAUGGGUCUCGCCUCAGCAUGUAGGUCUGUCUCUGCUGACUUCACACUGUCAAUCAACCAGAGUCUUCAGAAGUGGCAAGAAACUGCAGCACACCACCGGAAGCUUUUUUUUUUUUUUUUGGUGCAUUUCUCUCUAUGGAGUCCUGACAAAUGUUGUGCGUUGUUAGCAAAGAAUCCAUCACGUGUCCUUUCACGUGCUUGUGUUAGUAGAACAUCCUUUUUUUUCUUUUUUUUUUCUUUUUUUUUUUUUUUUUUUUUUUGGUUUUUGUUUUGUUUGUUUGUUUUUCGAGACAGGGUUUCUCUGCAUAGCCCUGGCUGUCCUGGAACUCACUUUGUAGGCUAGGCUGGUCUCGAACUCAGAAAUCUGCCUGCCUCUGCCUCCCAAGUACUGGGAUUAAAGGUGUGCGCCACCACGCCUGCAGAACAUCCUUUCAUUUGCGUCUGCUUCAGCUGCUCAUUCCUUCAUGAGUCUGCCUGAGCUUCCCACACCUGUGUUCAUUUUAACUAAAUGUUCCUUCACUUGUUUGACUGGCCCACUUUGUGUCAGGCUCCUUGGGAUCCCAGAAAGCUUUCUUCCCAGCAAAACACCAUCCAAUCAACUUUCCAAAGAACCCUUAAGUUUCCACUUCAAUCUAUAACUCUGGUUCCAAGGGGAUCUGAUGCCCUCGAUAGGCAUCAGGCAUGCAAGUGUUAUAGAGACAUACAUGCACUCAAAACACCCAUAGACAUAAAAGAGAAACCAAAACUUGGUAAUUUUUUUUAUUUCUUUUUUAAGAGUUGCCUACACACAUGUAUGUAUAUCACUUGUGUGCCUGGUGUUGGUGAAGGUCAAAAGAAGGGUUCAGAUCCACUGGAAUUGGAUUUACAGACAGUUGUGAGCUACCCUGUGGUUGGUAACUCAAGAGGCUGUCUGCAAGAGCAGCAAGUGCUCUCAACUGCUGAACCAGUUUAAAGGGAUAGGCAAGUCAGAACCUUUUCUGGUCUUCUUUCUUACGGUAAGUAGCAUAUCUUAAGAUCAUCGUGACUUUUUUAAUGACAUGUGCUUCUCUUCUUCCCACUGCCCCAUCUUCAGGGCCUUUGGAAGAUAUUUUCGUUGAAUAUAAAUCAGAGCAGCCCAUCCUUCUUGUGCAUGUAUGUGUCUUGUGUGCAUGUGUGUGUGUUAUGUGCAUGUGUGUAUUAUGUGCAUGUGUACAUGCAUGUGCAUGUAUGUGUCACUGUGUAGAGUACUGGAACACUCAGCCAUUUACUCAGCCAUUUAUGUUGAUGAGAGGUCAACUUCAGGUGUCUUCCUUUAUUGCCCUCUGAGCUGUGUUUCUGAGACGGUGCCACGACUGGCUGUUCUUUCCGUGCUGGGGAAGGAGCUCGGUUCCCACGCUUGCACAGCAUACACUUGAUUGGAUGAGCCACCCACCCUGUUUUUAAGUUUGUAUUUAUUUUUAUUAAUUAAAUUUUUUCUUUGACAAUUCAUACAUGAAUGCUACAUUCUGAUUACUCUCAUCCCCCAGUCUCUUUCUUCUGUCAGCUCUCCUUUUCUCUCUAAGACUCCCUUUCCCUCAUUCACAUCUUUUUGUUUUAAAACCCGCUGGGUUUAAUCAGGCCUGUGUGUGAACAUGGAAUUGGAACUAUAUAUUGGAGCCUUCAGGGUUUGUUUGGUUUUCUUCCCCAAUACACAAGUUUCUCUGUGUAGCCCUGGCUGUCCAGAAAUUCACUCUGUAGACCAGGCUGGCCUCAAACCCUCAGAGAUCCACCUGCCUCUGCCUCUCAAGUGCUAGGAUUAAAGGCAUGUGCCACCACACCUGGCUUGGAGCCUUCAGUUUUGAUAGAGUCUUACUAUCCAGCCCGCACAUUCCUUGAAUGGAUGAUCCUCCUGCUAAGCCUUUCAAGUAGAUAGAAUUAUAGGGCUGUGCCACCAUACCCAGCAGAACCUAAAUUCUCAGAAAUUCAAGGCAGUGAAGGGAAGAAGGAAUGUGCAGAUUAGAAGACUGUCUUUGUUAGGGUUUCUAUUGCUACAAAGAAACACAGUGUCCAUAUGAAAAUUGGAGAGGAAAAGGUUUAUUUUGCUAACACUCGCACAUCAUAGUCCAUCACUAAGGGAAGUAUCGACAGGACCUGGAGGCCAUGAAAGGGUGCUGCUUAUUGUCUUGUUCUCCAUAGCUUGCUCAGUCUGCUUUCUUAUAGCAUCCAGGACCACAAACCCAAGGGUAAUACCACCCACAAUGAGAUGGACCCUCCGGCAUCAAUUAUCAAUCAAGAAAACGAGCACCACUGGCUUGCCCACAGUCUGGAUCUACCAGGACAACUGAGAAGAAGUACUCGAGAAGUAACUGAGCCAUUCAUUAUGAGAGGGAACAGUUGAGAGGAAGAGAAGAAAUGAAGCAAUGUUUGUGGCCACCUCCUUCUCACAAAAUAUCCAAGGAAUUGGGAUCUGAGUUGGCCACUAGAGGCAUGAGAUACCCUAGAGGUUUAAUGCAGGCAACCAUGGGGGUUUAAUGAGAACAAUCAUUUAUUGGGGCAAAAGGGUAGGUGGAAGAUUUCAUUUCCUAUCAGGAAAAAAAAGUUCAUUUUCUAUUGUAUACUAGAGUCCUUGAGUACUUGAAUUCCAUAUCUCUUUAUUUUUGCCUAACUUAAAAAUAAAUAUAAGAAAAUCAAAAGUCACACACACACACAUACACACCCCAACUACUAAGAAACCUCACAGGGAACUGAUUCCAAGAGCUGGUAUAUACUUAACUCUUAAUUACAAGCAGACUAUUACUGGUACAACCUGAAGAGUGUCAAAUCUCUACUGAAUAAAACAAGACCUGCCUGUGUUUUAUAAAUGAGCUCAGGAUAUUGUGGGAAAUGAGAACUCUCCUGUGGUUCUUCUCUACCCACAGCCAGGCCUGAUCAAGAGCAGACAAGCAGCAAAGCCCAGACAGUGGCACCUGAGCUCUUGUGAGCUCCAUCUCUAGGUGAGCUGUGCUUUCUCCAUGUGUUGCCCGCCUUUCUCUGCUGCCCAGGAUUCGGAUGCCCUGGGAUGGGCUCAGAACUAUAUUAAACCAGAUUACUGUAACCUGGGAACCGUGUACCUCCUGGGCUACUUCCUUACUCCUUUCUGCCUUGUCGCUUCUUAAGGCACUCUCAUUCAUCAGGGGAUGUUUUCUGAGAGAAUUAAUAGUUUUUUUUCCUCAUAAUAUGAGCAUAGGUUGUGCUUAUGGUGAAAAGUGUCUAUGAGUGACUUUCUGAAGCUAAGAUUGUGCUCAUAUAUGCUUAGGAGGUAGAAGUUGGGAGGACUUUAAAGUGAUAAAAUUAGUAUAGUAUAGCAUAGUGUCAUGUAGUAAAUAUGUAAACAGUCAUUUAAAGACAAUAUAUGUAACUAUGCCAUGAUUUUAUAGUGCUGAUGCCACAGGCCUGUUUACCCCAGAAUGAAAUUGAGAAAUACACUGUCCCAUUUAGCCUCUGAGCAGGAAGUCUUGUAACUCCUCUCUGAUCUUAUAGGACCACUGCCUUAUGGACUGUUGUUGACUGCAACAUUCUUAUGCAGUGCGUGACUGCAGCUGCAAGCUGUUAACCCUUCCAUGCCUUUCUGACUGCACAGUUGGUAGCCAAGUGGUCUAACUGCUUCUGUAGACACAAGUUCUGGGUCAAAAUACGCUCUCUUCUUCAGAGCUUGUUAAAAUUUGAAGCUGUGGCUGUGUACUUUUUCCAGGAAGUAUGGGAGCUAUUCAGAAAGUUCUCCACAACAGCAUAUUGCAGGAAAACUAUGAGGCUGUCCUCUUUCUCUUUUCUCUGUAGACUUUUAAUGAUCUGUCCUCA